UAAGCGGAGGAAAAGAAAAUAACAAUGAUUCCCUUAGUAACGGCGAGUGAAGGGGGAAAAGCUCAAAUUUUAAAUCUGCUAGGUUUUACCUAUCAGAGUUGUAUUUUGAAGAAGCGUUUUCCGCGUCUCGGUUGACCCAAAUCCUUUGGGAUGAGGUAUCAUGGAGGGUGAGAAUCCCGUCCGGUUGACCUUAUGACGCUUUACGAUACGUUUUCAAAGAGUCGAGUUGUUUGGGAUUGCAGCUCAAAAUGGGAGGUAAAUUUCUCCUAAGGCUAAAUAUUGGCGAGAGACCAAUAGUGAACAAGUACCGUGAGGGAAAGAUGAAAAGAACUUUGAAAAGAGAGUAAAAUAGUACGUGAAAUUGUUGAAAGGGAAACGAUUGAAGUCAGUCAAUACCGACGAGAAAUCAGCUCUUCGAGUGUGAACUUGUGGGCGUGUGAGAGCUUUAAACCCUCGCUGUUUGCAACGUUUGUGCCUUUUGGGUGUACUUUUGCGUAUGGUAGGCCAACAUCAGUUUCGAGCACCAUAAAAUGACCGGCGGAAUGUAGCUUCGAUCUUGUAUUGAAGUGUUAUAGCUUCUGGUAGAUGUGGUGUUCGGGACUGAGGAUUGCAACGAAUACCUUUUAGGCUAUCCGUCUGAUCUCUGAAAGUCGCUUAGGUGCCGAAAAGCAUGCUUACGGUUAUUUUAAGUUUGACGGUCAAAAAGGUUUAGAACGUGAUUACAUUCGUUAAGGAUGUUGGCGUAAUGGCUUUAAACGACCCGUCUUGAAACACGGACCAAAGGAGGUCUAACAUAUAUGCGAUGUUA
rnacentral:rRNA from 1 species